UACGUAGGCAGCAAGCGUUGUUCGGAGUUACUGGGCGUAAAGGGUGUGUAGGCGGUCUUCUAAGUUUGGUGUGAAAUCUCCCGGCUCAACUGGGAGGGUGCGCCGAAAACUGGGAGGCUAGAGUGCGGGAUGGGAGAGUGGAAUUCCUGGUGUAGCGGUGAAAUGCGUAGAUAUCAGGAGGAACACCGGUGGCGAAGGCGGUUUCCUGGCUCAUUACUGACGUUCAGGUACGAAAGCGUGGGUAGCAAACAGG
rnacentral:rRNA from 1 species